CAGCAGCCGCGGUAAAACGAAGGGGGCUAGCGUUGUUCGGAAUUACUGGGCGUAAAGCGCACGUAGGUGGAUAUUUAAGUCAGGGGUGAAAUCCCAGAGCUCAACUCUGGAACUGCCUUUGAUACUGGGUAUCUUGAGUAUGGAAGAGGUGAGUGGAAUUCCGAGUGUAGAGGUGAAAUUCGUAGAUAUUCGGAGGAACACCAGUGGCGAAGGCGGCUCACUGGUCCAUUACUGACGCUGAGGUGCGAAAGCGUGGGGAGCAAACAGGAUUAGAUACCCCAGUAGUCCCUGUCUCUUAUAC
rnacentral:rRNA from 1 species